rnacentral:rRNA from 1 species
GACGAACGCUGGCGGCGUGCCUAAUACAUGCAAGUCGAACGCACAGUUUAUACCGGCGCUUGCUACACCAUAGACUGUGAGUUGCGAACGGGUGAGUAACGCGUAGGUAACCUGCCUGGUAGCGGGGGAUAACUAUUGGAAACGAUAGCUAAUACCGCAUAAUAUUAAUUAUUGCAUGAUAAUUAAUUGAAAGGUGCAAUUGCACCACUACCAGAUGGACCUGCGUUGUAUUAGCUAGUAGGUGAGGUAACGGCUCACCUAGGCGACGAUACAUAGCCGACCUGAGAGGGUGAUCGGCCACACUGGGACUGAGACACGGCCCAGACUCCUACGGGAGGCAGCAGUAGGGAAUCUUCGGCAAUGGACGAAAGUCUGACCGAGCAACGCCGCGUGAGUGAAGAAGGUUUUCGGAUCGUAAAGCUCUGUUGUAAGAGAAGAACGGGUGUGAGAGUGGAAAGUUCACACUGUGACGGUAUCUUACCAGAAAGGGACGGCUAACUACGUG